GUGAAAUUUUCAGUUUCUUUCUUGUUUUUGAUUGAAUAGAACUUAUCAUAUAUUUUCAAUAUUUGUGGUGUUCAAAUUAUUCAAACUUAUCAAAGAUUCAUACUUUUUGUGGCGUUCAACAAAUUCAUAGCAAGGUUUAUAGUUUUUGUGAUCAUGGGGUCAACAUAUUGUAGGCAAUUGUGUUGAUUUUUUAGUUCAAUAAAUUAUUGGAUCAAACUUCAAACCGAAUUUUUAACUUUCUUGGGGUUGUGAUCAAUCUUUUGUGGGUUUCGAACCUAAUAUUGCUAAGUGGGUUCACAUCACUAUUACUCAAGGAGAUUAUAUGCUUACAGUUGCAAAUUAAUGAUCUUUCCUUACUGCUCUAUCCUUUGAUACCCCGGUGUGGCAUUUUCAGAAGAGAGGCAACUAUACCAUUAAAUCAGGAUACCUAUUGGCUAUGUCUCUCAAACAACAAUCGGGGCAAUCAUCAUCAAAUCCUCUAUAUCCAUGGUAGAAUUUUCUGUGGAGCUUGGACUUACCUGACAAAAUUAAAAUUUUAUGGAAGGUACUUAUGAUUAUCCUCUCCACCGAAAGUAACCUAUUGCAACGACGUGCUAAUUUAGCAUCAUAUGUUAUACAUGUCAUGAGAGUCAGAAAAUAUUAAGCUUGCACACAUUUAUUGGGAAUUUAUUCUAGACGUCUCGUAUCUUAGCAGCUUAUUUACUUUGGUAUCCAAUAAUAGGCACGAGAUUGAGGAAUUAACUUUCAUUUACAGAUCGAGGAAAUGGAGAAAUUUCCUGUGCUCUUAUGGAAGUGCCAGACUAUGCAAAAAGUGAUGAAUACUGAUGAACCUUUACCUUCCUCCACAAACACAAAUUAUAUGGGUGCCUCGAGGAGCGAACGAUCUUACAACCAGCAGCUCCAUAGCACAACCCACCCAAUCAGCACUUCACCCUUACUAUCACCUGUUUGAGACCUCGAACGCGAAUGGUAAACAUGCUUGGUCACCCCUUCAACAUAUGCUUCGCUCUCCUUAAGUAUGGUAGGCAUCACAUCAUCUCUUAGGUGCAAUCUGGCUCGCAAUUUUGAGAUAUCCACUGUUAGGUUCAUGAUGUAUACUAAUGGACGUGAAACUAGAGAAAAGAAAAGAAAACUAAGAGAUAAAGCACCCUAACAGUGAUGCAGAGGCAACACUUCGUAGAAUCCUAAACCUGCCACAAUUUUCACCAGAGAAGACUCCUAUUGGAGAUAAACAAUAGCAAGAAUGGACCCACGGUUCUUGUUGGAUUAUCAUCGCAUAAAAAUCCUAAAAUGAGAUAAUCCACCAGACGGCUAAACUAGAAAUUGCAAAUCCAUGCCGGAAAAUUGAUGAAGAUGGAUGAGGAUGCAUAUGGAACAACACUUUAAUUCUAUGUUGUAUUUAUCUUUUUUAUUUGUUUAUUUAGUCAUAGGUUGUUAAAUGGAAAACAGAGGACUACUAGACAUAGAAGACAACUGGAAGAUUUUGGAUAGCUGAGCCCGCAAGAUCAAUGGCUGAAGAAGUAAACAAAAAGGCGAGGGAAAGGAAAGUCAAGCCAUGAAGAAAUAAAAUCCAGAUUGUUCUCUCUCAAAUUGCAUUUUCUUUUACUUCCUCCAUUAACCAUUCAAGAAAUGAAAUUCAUAUUGUUCUCUCUCAAUUUGAAUUUUCUUUUACUUCCCCCGUUAACCAUUCCUUAAAAGAAUUCUUGUAUCAUAGUUUUUAUUAUUUAACUACUCUAUAGGUGUAUAAAACCUUGAGAGUCAAGGGGCUUCGAACAAAAUUUCAAUUAAUUAGCAAUUAGGUUCGGUUUGUUAUUAAAGAAGCAGCUGACAGUGAGCUUCAGUUGGCUUUUUUUGAAUAACAAAAUCUUGAUCUGAAUCCUGUAUUUAUGGAGUCAACGAACUUGUGAUCGCCUUGUAUUCGUGUUUUUAUUUCUUUUUCU
rnacentral:lncRNA from 1 species